GCGAGCGUAGCCAAGUGGUUAAGGCACCGGGUUGUGGUCCCGGCACUCGUGGGUUCAAGUCCCAUCGUUCGCC
rnacentral:tRNA from 1 species